rnacentral:lncRNA from 1 species
GGAAAAAACGAGCUCCGACUGGGAAAUACGUUUUGAACGUUCAUCCAACUCGGAAUUCCAAGUCGGUAACCCGGGCCUCUUUCUAGAGCUCCGACCUGAAGAUCACUGACGUCAUGAUUCAACCUUGUUUUUUUCUGAGUUCCCAGUUGUCCUGAAAGCACCAUAAAUCCAGAGAUUCACAGACUUUGAUGACAAAGAUUGAUGACAAAAUUUGUCCACAAGAAGGAUCGCCGCUCCACCUUCCUGUUCAAGACCUGAGCCUCAUAGGACCAUGCCUCAGAACUACCUGGCCUGACGACUCCUGGCUGUCCCCUUCCACAGUCCAUCAGGUCUUGCUGCUGAUCCAGAUUCUGCUGUUCUGCCUGUGGCUAUGGAACCCUGAACUUUUUCCCGCACGUGCUACCUUUUUGUGCUGCUGCUCCAGUUUCAACUAUUCUGCCUGCGGCUAUGGAACCCUG